GAUGAACGCUGGCGGCGUGCCUAAUACAUGCAAGUCGAGCGAACAGACGAGGAGCUUGCUCCUCUGACGUUAGCGGCGGACGGGUGAGUAACACGUGGAUAACCUACCUAUAAGACUGGGAUAACUUCGGGAAACCGGAGCUAAUACCGGAUAAUAUAUUGAACCGCAUGGUUCAAUAGUGAAAGACGGUUUUGCUGUCACUUAUAGAUGGAUCCGCGCCGCAUUAGCUAGUUGGUAAGGUAACGGCUUACCAAGGCAACGAUGCGUAGCCGACCUGAGAGGGUGAUCGGCCACACUGGAACUGAGACACGGCCCAGACUCCUACGGGAGGCAGCAGUAGGGAAUCUUCCGCAAUGGGCGAAAGCUUGACGGAGCAACGCCGCGUGAGUGAUGAAGGUCUUCGGAUCGUAAAAUUCUGUUAUUAGGGAAGAACAAAUGUGUAAGUAACUAUGCACGUCUUGACGGUACCUAAUCAGAAAGCAACGGCUAACUACGUG
rnacentral:rRNA from 1 species